ensembl:lncRNA
AGCAGCACCAGGAGCUCAUUAGAGCGGCACACUUCCGGGCUCCAGCUCAACUUACUGAUCAGGAAUGAGGAGGUGGGCUGAAACUCACUCCUCAGACACCAACCUGUAACCCAGAAACAGAGGUAUUUGUAAUCAAGCUUUGGCCUGAGGCAUUAUGAAGGAGGAGUUGAAUCCAGGGGUCUUGGAUUUAAACAUGCUGAAUCCAGAUGGACCCACACUCUUUUAUCAUUAUUAAGUCAAGCAAGGCUUUUAAAAGGAGGGAAGAAUGUAGGCCCAGGAAUGGUUUGCUGUUUUGAAUUUUCAAGAGACGCUGGGAAUCUGAAUUCUAAUAUGGAAUUUGCCAGCUUUGGGGCUUCUCUGGUGGUCCAGCAGUUAAGACUUUACCUUCCGUUGCAGCUGUUGUCAGCUGCAUCCCGUGUCGCAGCCCACAUGCCUUGUGGCCAAAACCCAAAACAUAAAACACAAACAGCAUUGUAACAAAUUCAGUAAAGACGUAAAAAAUGAUUCACAUAAAAAACUUUUAAAAAAUUAAAAAAUACUGAGCCCCAGUCAAAACAUGCUUGUGAGCUAUUCAUUUAUAACACAGGUUUAAAGAGUUCAGUUCCUACUUCCUAGCUCCUAAUUCAUGGGAAGGCUUCUGCAGGUAGUUGGCAUGUUUUUUGGUCUUCUAGGGUGAGGAUUAGCUAUAAGGAGAGAAAAAGGAAAAAAGUAAGAAGGGGUAGAAAGAUGAAAACAAAGGAAAACAUUGUAAAAAAGAAGGAAUCUACUAUUAGAAGUGACCUGAGGGUUUAUGUAGUCCUGUCCUGUACAUAAAGAAUAUAUCACUUCUACAACAUCCCUGAUGUGGUAGAC